rnacentral:rRNA from 1 species
GUGGGGAAUAUUGGACAAUGGGGGGAACCCUGAUCCAGCCAUGCCGCGUGUGUGAAGAAGGCCUUUUGGUUGUAAAGCACUUUAAGCGAGGAGGAGGCUACCGAGAUUAAUACUCUUGGAUAGUGGACGUUACUCGCAGAAUAAGCACCGGCUAACUCUGUGCCAGCAGCCGCGGUAAUACAGAGGGUGCAAGCGUUAAUCGGAUUUACUGGGCGUAAAGCGCGCGUAGGUGGCCAAUUAAGUCAAAUGUGGAAUCCCCGAGCUUAACUUGGGAAGUGCAUUCGAUACUGGUUGGCUAGAGUAUGGGAGAGGAUGGUAGAAUUCCAGGUGUAGCGGUGAAAUGCGUAGAGAUCUGGAGGAAUACCGAUGGCGAAGGCAGCCAUCUGGCCUAAUACUGACACUGAGGUGCGAAAGCAUGGGGAGCAAACAGGAUUAGAAACCCUGGUAGUCC